UCGUGGCAUGAGUCGUCUUUAUUAGUAUGUUAAUUCGGGUAACGAGCGAGACCUCCGUGGGGUUACUAAGAGUUGGUCGGUGAUGUUUUCAUCCUGACCCCGCCCAGACACGAACGUCGAAAAGACAUGGGAAGUGGGAGGCUAUAACA
rnacentral:rRNA from 1 species